CAUGUGAAGAAGGAUGUGUUUGCUUCUCCUUCCGCCAUGAUUGUAAGUUUCCUGAGGCCUCCCCAGCCAUGCUCAACUGCUGUUCUGAUCAUGAUCAAGCCCGAGACAGAGCGAUGGGUGUGGCUUCCCAAAAGGUGUUUAUGAAUCCAAAAUAUGAGAGAGAAGAUAAGAUGAAGUCACAGUCUAGUCAUUGCCUCAACACCAGUCAUGCCUACUCCCACCCAGACAACAUCAUCUCCGCUCCCAAGCCCGAAAUGCUCCCUCCCAUGCCUUCGAGGCUGAGGUCUGGGACGAAGACUCUAAGAAGAGAGAAAAGGGCACCAGUAUGGAGACCCUAGAAUAUAAAAAGCAGACUUAGCCUGCCUAACCUGUUCCUUGACUUGGCCAUGAUCCCAGGAAUAGAGGAAGGAUCUUCCUUUUCCUCCUCCUCCUGGAGAGGCAUCAGAGCAUGGGCCCUGGCUCUGUUACUCCCUGGCUGGGGAAGUUACUUACCUACUCCGUGUCUCAGUUUUACUUAUCUCUAAAAGGGGUACAGUAACAGCACUCACUGGAGUGGAGUGUGGUUAUGCCUCCCAGUCACUCCUUCAGAACCAGGUUACUUAUUCCCUCAGCUGCAAGGAGUGUUAGCUGCGGACUGCUCACAAUGGAGUCUCUUCUAGGAAUUGCCCUCAACCAAAGGAAGCUGCAUUGCCCAAGAUGAGAUCCCCCCGCUGGGGCAUCCUGCAUCCAAUGACAAGUCAGUGGUGCGUACGAAGGCCUGGCUUCCUCAUCUUGAUUGAACACCUCCAAAGGGCCAUCCCAGUUUCUGAUCUCCCCGUAGAAUCUCCUGAAGCAUCUGUUGUGACUGCAUCAGAGCCCAACUUCUCUCUCUACCCAAUCCAGUCUCCUUUCCUUCUCACAGGUGUUGUUCCCAAAACUCAAUAAACUGCUUACAUGCAA
rnacentral:lncRNA from 1 species